GGGGGGCGGGGCCUCGCGGCCCUGCAGCCUCGUCAGGCUCAGUCCCCUCCCGAUAAACCCCUAAAUAGGGACCUUCCCAGGGGGCGACCCAGGCUUUUUUGGCAAAAACCCUCAACUUAAGGAGGCCUUGCCCCUGGCUUAUCGUAGUGGAGUGGAAAGGAACCUGAAAGCGGAGAAUUGGGGAGCUUGUGAAGCGGUACGGGGGAAAAAACCUGCUAACCGGGAUUUGAUACCGUUCAGCUCCUUUGGCCUUUGACGGAAAGCGAUUUAAAAGGGAUUUCAAUGAAAAACUCGAUCGUUUUGGCUUUUGUUUUCUCUUACCCGCUCUUGUCACGUGAUGAUUCUACCUUUUUUUUUUUUUUAAUGAAAUGAUGCAUAUUUGCCACAGUAUCCUUGAUCUAGUGCAGCCUAGUGGCGAGCGGAGAAAAAAAUAACUUCCGACUGGGCUGCCAGCGAAGUCAUUCGGGCCAGCAGGGCUCCUCGCGAAGCUGCGAUCCAUCUGGCGAAGAUAAUAAAGCGUGUGCCAAGACUAAGUUGGAUUUUGUCACCAAUUAAGAGGUCCUCGUGACUUCAAAAUCAGAUGACAAGUCCACACAUCAUCUGCCUGCUUAGGUAUUUAUUACUGCUGAGUAAAUCUUCAUUGUGUCUCUGUGUGGGUAGUAUUCGCCAAAUGGGAAUUAGAACAGAUGAAAAACAACCCUGUUUCUAGUGUUUUGUUUUUUUCAGAUUACCAAAAAUAUAUAUACUUUUCUUU